CAGACUUUGACAAAAAGACAGACUGAAAUGAAAGUCAGUCAUCCAAAAUGGCUGCACCACCACAACAACAACAAGAAGAAGAACACCACAACUUGUCGCACCCAACCUGGUGCCGCUCACCUGUGACCAUGAAGUCGGUGAAGAAGAGGAUGCAGCAGCCGCAGAAGCCGAUGGGGCUGCGGGAGGUGGCCAGCGAGGGCAGGAAGAGGAGACUGCACACCAGUUUGAAGACGCACAGCAUCGACGCGCCAUCCAACACGCCGUCCAUGGCUGCGAGUACACACACAUCCACGCACCGGCAUCUGAAAACAGAUCAAUACUUCCAAAAGGGGUGAACCCUGGACCGUUAACACAACUUUGGAGCUUCACGUGCACACAAAAAAGCAUCAGCUGUCGGGAUGUGACUUAAUUAAUAAUAUAAAACGCAAUCCUGAGGGUGUGGCGCUGUGUGCACAGAACCUGUCCAACUAGCGGCUAACGCGCUCGGAGAUGAACUGGAAGAAAGAACGUGUGGAUGUCAAGACAAACAAUUC